UACGAAGGGGGCUAGCGUUGCUCGGAAUCACUGGGCGUAAAGGGUGCGUAGGCGGGUCUUUAAGUCAGGGGUGAAAUCCUGGAGCUCAACUCCAGAACUGCCUUUGAUACUGAAGAUCUUGAGUUCGGGAGAGUUGAGUGGAACUGCGAGUGUAGAGGUGAAAUUCGUAGAUAUUCGCAAGAACACCAGUGGCGAAGGCGGCUCACUGGCCCGAUACUGACGCUGAGGCACGAAAGCGUGGGGAUCAAACAGG
rnacentral:rRNA from 1 species